CUUUGAAUCACUGCUUAGCACCAGGACGGGAGGUCACCAUAGCAACUUCUUAAGGCAAGCACAGUGCUAUUGGUCCCAUUUCAUGGACGUGGCAGCUUUGGCUUCUUGGGACCCAAGGCCUCUAUUUUGGACCUUUGUCGGAGCUACAGUAAGGUGCAAGCCCAUCAGAGUACUACGGAGAAGUGGUUUUCUCACACAAUGAAAAGGACUCCACGUACAGUAUACACCGCAAAGUACAUGUCCCACAAAGAUUGGUCAUCAAAAAGUGACAGUCUCAAUCCUGAGACACACUUCUGUUACAAAGCAACUCAUGAACAGAAAAUGUAUAUCCAUUGGGAGCAAAACUAAAUCACCCAGAAUCACCCAGAAUUAACUGAAACAUUGCCACUCUCGUUCCAACUACUGAGGUUAGCCGCAGAUAUCAGCUUCUCGCAAUGGGAAAUCAUACAGAGCUUUGUCAUUAGGAGGAAGCUGUGGCUGCAACUCUGGGAGCUCCAAAGCCAGCAGGGGCCACCCCACUCUGCCCCAACAGGAGCUGCAGGCUUAGUGGAGGAAUUCAGCCAUGAGCCAGCAGCGAGGGAGCGGAGAGAAGACCUACCAUGAAUAGACUCUCCACCUGCCUGUCAUCCCCUGCCAGUGCCUCCCAGGGGCUGAGCCCAGUUGGAAGCCAGAGGGCAAGGGGAGCACUGGACAUGUCAUCCUUAGAGGUCAGCAGAAGAGUGUGGGGAAUGGAUGGAGAAGGCCAGAUGCAGAGGGACCAACACAUUCCCAUAACAUUAUGAUGCUUAUCCAUCCAUGCUGUCCUUUUGCGCCCUUUAAACUCUCGAAAGAAGGGGUUGUAAAUCUCAAAUGAAUCAGACCAUAAAUGUGUAUGUCAAUGACACAAGCACAAGUGAAGGCGCAGACAAAAUAGAGGCAUGUACCACCCAUCUA